rnacentral:rRNA from 1 species
AUUGAACGCUGGCGGCCGGCCUAACACAUGCAAGUCGAACGCGUGGCGGCCGGGUAAGUAAUGGUUGGGCAUCUGUCUGAUGGCGGGUGGUAACUACUGGAAACUGUAGCUCAUACCGCAUACCCUCUGAUGUGCCCAAAUGGUAUUAGCUAGUAGGUGGGGUAAAGGCUCACCUAGGCGACGAUCCCUAGCUGGUCUGAGAGGAUGACCAGCCACACUGGGACUGAGACACGGUCCAGACUCCUACGGGAGGCAGCAGUGGGGAAUAUUGCACAAUGGGCGCAAGCCUGAUGCAGCCAUGCCGCGGGUAUGAAGAAGGCCUUCGGGUUGUAAAGUACUUUCAGCAGGGAGGCGUUACCCACAGAAGAAGCACCGGCUAACUCCGUGCCAGCAGCCGCGGUAAUAC